ACAGUUGUGAGCAUAUUUGAAAUAUUUUUAAAAGUGGGCUUUUCUUCUCUCCCAGCCAGCUGCAUCUUUCAUGAAAAAACCCAUCUUUUCUUCUCUCCCCCUCUCCUCAUAUUCUUUCUUCUCAUCUUAUUUUAAAUUAUUUGAAGUCGAAAUAUCAUUAAAUGCUUACGAACUGCUCUAGAGCUGAUAUUUUUGGUUGACUAAAGAUAUUGAUAACAAUUUGGUCGUGCGAGAAGCAUCUUUUUGAGUAGUGCUUUAUUGUGUUUAGGGAACGAUGAGUAAUGCUAAUUCAAAGGAGGCCUCCUGUCAUGCUCAAUCAUAUUUUGUGGUGCAUUAAUUAUUAUGUAUAAAUUAUGAAUAUGAGUACUUUGUUUUGUUGUAUUAUGACAUUAA